CACGUGGGUAACCUGCCCCGAUGAUUGGGACAACCCGAGGAAACUCGGGCUAAUACCGAAUGUGCCCUCCGACCAUAAGGUCGCUGGGGAAAGGAAGCUUCGGCCUCCGCAUCGGGAUGGGCCCGCGGCCCAUUAGCUUGUUGGUGAGGUAACGGCUCACCAAGGCUGCGAUGGGUAGCUGGUCUGAGAGGACGAUCAGCCACACUGGGACUGAGACACGGCCCAGACUCCUACGGGAGGCAGCAGUGGGGAAUCUUGCGCAAUGCGCGAAAGCGUGACGCAGCAACGCCGCGUGGGGGA
rnacentral:rRNA from 1 species